GACGAACGCUGGCGGCGUGCUUAACACAUGCAAGUCGAACGGAAAGGCCCCUUUGGGGGUACUCGAGUGGCGAACGGGUGAGUAACACGUGAGUAACCUGCCCUUGACUUUGGGAUAACUUCAGGAAACUGGGGCUAAUACCGGAUAGGAAUCCUUGCUGCAUGGUGGGGGUUGGAAAGCUUCGGCGGUUUUGGAUGGACUCGCGGCUUAUCAGCUUGUUGGUGGGGUAGUGGCUUACCAAGGCUUUGACGGGUAGCCGGCCUGAGAGGGCGACCGGCCACAUUGGGACUGAGAUACGGCCCAGACUCCUACGGGAGGCAGCAGUGGGGAAUAUUGCACAAUGGGCGGAAGCCUGAUGCAGCAACGCCGCGUGCGGGAUGACGGCCUUCGGGUUGGAAACCGCUUUCAGCAGGGGCGAAGCUUGUGGUGACGGUACCUGCAGAAGAAGCACCGGCUAACUACGUG
rnacentral:rRNA from 1 species